rnacentral:rRNA from 1 species
ACAAUGGAGAGUUUGAUCCUGGCUCAGGAUGAACGCUGGCGGUAUGCCUAACACAUGCAAGUCGAACGGUGCCUUAGGGCAUAGUGGCGGACGGGUGAGUAACACGUAAGAAUCUGCCUUUAGGUCGGGGACAACAGUUGGAAACGACUGCUAAUACCGGAUGAGCUGAGAAGUAAAAGAUUGAUCGCCUAAAGAAGAGCUUGCGGCUGAUUAGCUAGUUGGUAGUGUAAGGGACUACCAAGGCGACGAUCAGUAGCUGGUCUGAGAGGAUGAGCAGCCACACUGGGACUGAGACACGGCCCAGACUCCUACGGGAGGCAGCAGUGGG